GGAUUAGAUACCCUGGUAGUCCACGCCGUAAACGAUGAGUACUUGAUGGUGGAGGAUUCGACCCCUUCACUGUCGGAGCUAACGCGUUAAGUACUCCGCCUGGGGAAUACGGCCGCAAGGCUGAAACUCAAAGGAAUUGACGGGGACCCGCACAAGAGGUGGAACAUGUGGUUUAAUUCGAUGCAACGCGAAGAACCUUACCUGGACUUGACAUGUUAGUGAAAGCUUUGUGAAAGCAAAGCCUUCUGCGAGCUUGCUCAAAGACACUAUCACAGGUGAUGCAUGGCUGUCGUCAGCUCGUGCCG
rnacentral:rRNA from 1 species